rnacentral:lncRNA from 1 species
AUAUAUAGGUAAAAACGUAAAUUUUUUGAAAUUUUAACUUUUAUUAUUUAUUUAAUUUAAGUAAGUCCAUAAUAUUUUAAUUUUAAAAUUUAAAUGCAUUAUUUACAUUUGCAUUUUUUUUUUGAGAGAGAUGGGUAGCACGUUACCCGUUUCGUUUAUUUUAUUUAGAAAUAAACAUAGCUAGAAAUGUGAAUCAACUAGAAUUCAAACUUGGAUCUCGGGUACCAACCACCAAGCCCUUUGCAUGUUAAAACACGUAUUUACGUGAAUGCUCCAAUAAAAAUUGGAAUAUCUUAAAUACUCCUCUAAAUAUAAAAAACUUUCAAAAGUACUCUUCGAAACAAAUUUUCAUUAAAAUCUACGAUAACAGCAACCAAAAUAUUAUUACUAAUGAGGGGUUAAUUUAAUUCAUACCUCUCUAAACGUUCAAAAUAUCUUGAAUAUUUUUAUAAACUUGAUUAUAUCACAAUACCCGUAUAAAUACUUACUAUCUUGCAAAUAUGCCAUCGUCGUUAACUUCCACCUCUUUACCUAACGUCUAUUUUAUAUAGGUUAUCAUGAUUAGUGAAAAUGUC